rnacentral:rRNA from 1 species
AUACAGAGGGUGCGAGCGUUAAUCGGAAUUACUGGGCGUAAAGCGCGCGUAGGCGGCUUAUUAAGUCAGAUGUGAAAUCCCCGGGCUCAACCUGGGAACUGCAUCUGAUACUGGUAAGCUAGAGUUUUGGAGAGGGAAGUAGAAUUUCAGGUGUAGCGGUGAAAUGCAUAGAGAUCUGAAGGAAUACCAGUGGCGAAGGCGACUUCCUGGCCAAAAACUGACGCUGAGGUGCGAAAGCGUGGGGAGCGAACAGGAUUAGAAACCCCAGUAGUCC